UACGUAGGGUGCGAGCGUUGUCCGGAAUUAUUGGGCGUAAAGGGCUCGUAGGCGGUUUGUCGCGUCGGGAGUGAAAACCAGGUGCUUAACACCUGGCUUGCUUUCGAUACGGGCAGACUAGAGGUAUUCAGGGGAGAACGGAAUUCCUGGUGUAGCGGUGAAAUGCGUAGAGAUCAGGAGGAACACCCGGGGCGAAGGCGGCCCUCUGGCUCGACCCUGACGCUGAGGCGCGAAAGCGUGGGGAGCGAACGGG
rnacentral:rRNA from 1 species